GACGAACGCUGGCGGCGUGCUUAACACAUGCAAGUCGAACGAUGAACCGGUUUCGGCCGGGGAUUAGUGGCGAACGGGUGAGUAACACGUGGGCAAUCUGCCCUGCACUCUGGGAUAAGCCCGGGAAACUGGGUCUAAUACCGGAUACGACACUCCGAGGCAUCUUGGGGUGUGGAAAGUUCCGGCGGUGCAGUAUGAGCCCGCGGCCUAUCAGCUUGUUGGUGGGGUAAUGGCCUACCAAGGCGACGACGGGUAGCCGGCCUGAGAGUGUGACCGGCCACACUGGUACUGAGACACGGCCCAGACUACUACGGGAGGCAGAAGUGGGGAAUAUUGCACAAUGGACCAAUGCCCGAUGCCGCGACGCCGCGUGACGGAUAACGGCCUUCGGGUUUUACACCUCUUUCAGCAGGGAAGAAGCGAAAGUGACGGUACCUGCAGAAGAAGCACCGGCUAACUACGUG
rnacentral:rRNA from 1 species